rnacentral:misc_RNA from 1 species
GAUGAAGAACGUAGCGAAAUGCGAUACUUGGUGUGAAUUGCAGAAUCCCGUGAACCAUCGAGUCUUUGAACGCAAGUUGCGCCCGAAGCCAUUAGGCCGAGGGCACGCCUGCCUGGGCGUCACACGUCGUUGCCCCCCCAUCUACUCCUUCGGGAUUGCGGGGGGCGGAUGAUGGCCUCCCGUGCGCCUCGCCGCGCGGUUGGCAUAAAUGCCAAGUCCUCGGCGACGCACGCCACGACAAUCGGUGGUUGCGAAACCUCGGUUGCCCGUCGUGUGCGGUCGUCGCGCAUCGAGGGCUCGAAAAAAUUGCCGGGUUCCGGCUCGGCUUUCAACGCGACCCCAGGUCAGGCGGGGUUACCCGCUGAAUUUAAGCAUAUCAAUAAGCGGAGG